rnacentral:misc_RNA from 1 species
GAUGAAGAACGUAGUGAAACGCGAUAAGUAAUGUGAAUUGCAGAAUCCAGUGAAUCAUCGAAUCUUUGAACGCACAUUGCGCCCGCCAGCAUUCUGGCGGGCAUGCCUGUUCGAGCGUCAUUUCAACCCUCGACCUCCCCUUGGGGAGGUCGGCGUUGGGGACCGACAGCACACCGCCGGCCCUGAAAUGGAGUGGCGGCCCGUCCGCGGCGACCUCUGCGCAGUAAUACAGCUCGCACCGGGACCCCGACGCGGCCACGCCGUAAAACACCCAACUUCUGAACGUUGACCUCGAAUCAGGUAGGACUACCCGCUGAACUUAAGCAUAUCAAUAAGCGGAGGA